CGGUGAGCACAGGUUAAUACCUAUUGAGUAUCUGUUAUGUGCCGAGUACAUUAUGUUACUCUGGAUGGAUUAUGAUGCCUAUACUAGAUUUUGCAGUCUGGGUCAUGGGGGUUAAACAUCAGGAAUCAAAGGAUUAAAAAUGGGGGGUGGGGAUGGGAAGUUGCUGACACGAUCAGAUCUGGCUGCACAGUGGGGAAAAGGUCAGAGAGAGUGAAGACAGAAGGCCGUAUACUACUACAGAAAGUGAAAGAUAAUAGCAAUGAGAAUGGAGAGAGACCCAGACCUCUAGGCUACCGGGGUAGGCAUGUGACCCAGACUGGACAAAUCGCAGUUCUUGUUUCCAUUGCCAUUGUGACCAACCGAGGUACAGGUGAUAAAAACAAGAUUGAGCUAAAAGACAACAUAAUCAGAAGACAGAAAAUGAACACAAUAUCUAAAGAACCAGAUAAGACUGUGAGAGACCAGGAACAGCAACAGUAUACAUGCCACAUCUAAGGAGGGGAGGAGGGGCCCAUCUGUGUUCACCCCACUGCUUCAGGGUCCUUCUAACAAAGAGAUUGUGCUGCGGUGGCCCCAAGAACCUUCCAGCAGGUAACACAGGUCCUUAAGAAGCCUUCAGAGCUGCAUCAAAGUGCAGCAGGGGAGACUACAGUGUGUUGUUCCCCUCUUCCUCUGUCACUUUCCAUUCCCCCGGCUCCCUUCCUUCCAAACCUGCUCUUUUCUGCCCAUUCUCAGGAAAACCUUCCCUCAGCUCUACCACUCUCUCGAGCUAAUCUUUUCCAUUGUGCUCCCAAGCAAACUCUUUUCUUUGAGAUAGCUUGGGAAAAUGAUGAAAGGGCAGUGGUGAAGCAUCCUUAAGUUGAAUGGGGCUUUUAAAAAAAGUUGUAAAAUACACAUACAAUUUACCACUUAAACCAGUUAAAAGUGUGCAAUUUAGUGGCAUUUAGUACAUUCACAGUGUUGUAAAACCAUCACCACUAUGCAGCUUCAGAACAUUUCCAUCUACCCGUAAAGAAACCCGCAUCAGUUAAGCAGCCACUCCCCUUCCCUCCUCCCACUCAGCCCCUAGCAAUGACUAAUCCACUUGUUGUCUCUAUGGAUUUGCAUAUUCUGAAUAUUUUAUAUUCAGUAUGUGACCUUUUGUGACUAGCUUCUUUCACUUAGGUUUAUCCACUUUGUAACACACAUCAGUUCUCCAUUCUUUUUUAUGACUGGAUAGUAUUCCAUUAUAUGGAUAUACCAUAUUUUGUUGAUCAGUUAAUGGAUAUUUAGGUUGUUUCCACCA
rnacentral:lncRNA from 10 species